UAUUAUCUAUGUGAUUGAUCAUACGCUUUGCUUGUUUGAUGCUACACUAUUAUCUCUUAGCUAUCUUUGUGAUGAUCAUUCACUUAUCUUGUUGGUGCCAUGUGCAUUGCUAUUCAUUCCUAUUUUGUAUGCGCACCACCAAGAUGUAUGUGACAUGGAAGAGUGACCCAUGAUCCUAAUUGAUUGUGCAUUUGCAUUCAAACGCAAAUUUUAAAUAAUGCACAAAUUUAGGGGGAGCUCUUGCUUUUUCA
rnacentral:lncRNA from 1 species